rnacentral:rRNA from 1 species
ACGUACGGCCAUAGACAUCGGAAAGUACGGGAUCCCGUCCGCUCUCCCCUAGUCAAACCGGUGAUCGGCGGAUUAGUAGUUGGGUCGGUGACGACCAGCGAAUCCCCGCUGCUGUACGUU